AUGGACUGGUGGCUGCGGGCUAAGGCGCAAACCCCUCCAGCACUAUGCAAAGCUCUGCAAUCGAUCACACUGCUCGUCCCCUGGAUGAUCUGGAAACAGAGGAACGAAUGCGUCUUCGACAAUGCAAGACCCUCGAUAGAUGCGAUAGUGACAGGAUUAAUUAAAGACGAGGCCAAAUGUUGGGCGCAAGCUGGGGCACAUGGGCUGCGAGUAGUCCUGCCCGCCUCUUGGGAUGUCCACUGA
rnacentral:rRNA from 1 species